AUGCAAAAUAAGAAAUUCAAGGAGAAUGUGUCUUCAUGUGCUUUAAGAGUAACUACUUAGAUAAAAAAAUGACUUUAUCUUCCAUACUGAUGAAUAUAUGGAUAUGUCAAAGAAGUAAGCUUUGGCUCAUCACUAUGAAAGAUAUUUCUAAUAAUCUUGGCUGCCCAACAGUGCAAUGCACAGGCUUUGGAGGAGGAUGACUGAUGGAACCCUCUUAGCUUGGGUUCAAGCACUGGCUCUGAGAUUGGACUCGAUGAAUAACACCCUCUCCCUCCUCUCCCCUCCUCCUCAUUCUCUCCCCUUCCUAUCUCUGUUGGUCCUCUCGCUUAGCCUCAGAAGAACAAAGCUACCUGGACUUUUACCAAGUGGGAAUCAAACCUUAGGCCCCUUUGUCUGCAAGAUGCAAACUGUCAAUUUAACCCAAGAUGUUCAUAACUUUUUUGAGUGAUUAAUAGGGAGGGAAAAUAGCUUUCAUUCCUCAGGGCUACCAAUGGCCAUGUGGUAAAUGACCACAUCUGGGCACCAAAUGGCAUCCUACCCUCUGAAGGCUACUUCUCCCUGGUAUAGCCCUAGGUCAAGGUGGAUUGCUUUUGCUUUGAGAGCAGGAAUGUGAGGCACGUCCUCCAUGAAAGCCCUUGACAGAUGUUAUGUUUUCUUUCAUGACUGCUUUUGUUAAGUGGCUUAUGAGCAGGGUCCUUGGAAGUCAAGCCAGGCUUGGUCAGGGCAGCUAAUCAAGAGAUGCUGAGGCUUCUAGGAUGAAGGGGGGGGGGAGUCCAGAGGGUAAGAUGGAGGGAGUGAGCUAUCCCAGAAGCUGGGGCAGUAUAAAGGAGCUUCAAGACCAAAAAGAACCUCAUGUGCCAAAUAGUUUGACUCCUUGAUGUUACAGAUGAGGAAACUGAAGGUCAGACAGACAGGACUUCCUGGAAGUCCUGCAGCAAAUCAGCCCCCGCCCCCAUCAGCACUAGGAUUAGGGUGGGGUGAGGUGAGUGAGGCACCUACAUGACUGUGCAUGAUCCCUUCUGAAAUUUUGCAUCCUAGGUACCUCAUCCUAGUCUCAGCCUGGAACUCUCUACCACCCAGGUAGAGAACUCCCUGCCACACUCAGAGUCUCUUCAGAGAGCUUCUAUGCUGGGAAGGUGCCAUCUUUUGUUGCAUAUGAUCCUGCCCCAAUUGGAUCAAAGAAGAACCCCUGCCCAUAGUGGCCAACAUCCUGGCAUCUUGAGCUAGUCUGGUGUGAGCAGCUAUCCCAUAAGCCCUAAAAUGAUUUAACUGGACAAUCAGAUUCUCUUUUGGGAAUUUGAAAGGGCAAUAAGAGGAGACAGUUUUUAGUGGCUGAGAGAUAAAGUCAGUUUUUAGUGGCAUUCUUGCUCUUCAGUUCUAUUACUUUUAUUGUUCUCUAUCCAUUCUUGUGAUAUUCAUGCCUGGGAAGGGAGAGAGGGUUAACCAGGUCUAUGCGUCUUCCAAUUUCUGCCUGUUACUAAUGUGUUCCUCCCUUGUGCCACUGUUCAGACUCCUCACCGCCGUGGGGGCCAUCUACCUCCCCAUCAUCCAUUUAAAAAUAACUGAACAGCUCCUUUUCUUUUCAUUGGGCACAAAGGCAAUUAACACUUGAUCCCUAAUCUUAGGUGUUUGCACCUUAGCAGGAGAGGAAGAUGCAAAAGAGAUGCUUAUGGUAACACUUGAUGAGUAUAAUGAUGGAGAAAAGCCACAUAUUGCUGGGGCACCAGGGAAAGGUGCAUAACUCAUUUGGCAGAAACAGGAGUGAGUGCAAAGAAGACUUCCUGGAGGAGGUAUUGCCCGAACUGAGUUCUAAAGCAAUAAGCAUGAUUUUGCUUUAAGCUGUGAAGAGUAGAGAAAGAGCAUUCUAGGCUUGAUAAGGUAGGAGCUAAGGACCCUCAUGGUAGGUUUGGAGCAACUGUGAGCAGUUAUACAGUUGUAUGAAUUUCAAGUCAGGUAGGGCAGAGCAAGGAGGAGAUGAAUCCUCAGAAGCCAAGCUGAUGACCUUGGACUUCAUAGUCCAGGUGAGCUCUCACUCGCUGGUAAUCCAAAGCUAUGCUCAGUGCCAGGACAAACUUUACUUGGCCCAUGGAAGAUUGGGCAGAAUUCUGAGUUUCAAUGCCUUUAGACAGCUAUGCUCUGGUCCACCAUAAUCCCCACUGCUCCCCAUUGCCUACACAGAGUCCUGGGACUCAUUCCUGUUUCCUCCUGCCUUCUGUGGGCUCCAAGGACAUGAUCCCUGCUCUGGAUGGUAGAGUCUCUGAGGAGUGUGGGUGGGGCACGCAUGGUCUUUACACAGAUUUCCUUGGUAAGGAGGCAGGAAAUGGAUUUGAGGGGUGCUCUGGUGGCAGAGGAAGUCCUUUGGAGGCUUGGGGAAAUGUGGGAGAGGGUGAUAGGCCUGGAACCAGCAGUUCGGUGUCCGGCACCAGACAGAAGGCUGCAAAAGUCCCUACCCUCCUGAGCAUCUCCUAUGCUUACCACGCAUCAGCUCUUGCCAAGAUCCCAAUGCUCCUGUGGAGCUACUGCUUGUCCCACUCCCACCACUCCAUGAAGGCUGACAAAGGUUAGGCAGCUCCCCUGAAGGAUCCUUGCUAAGUGGUUGGUCUGUAAUCCAGACUCAGUGUUACAUGGGUGCCAAGCUGGGACUCACUCCUCUCUAGUUCACCUCCCACGCUGCCCGGUGGGUUCAUCUGGACAUCAUUCAGAGCCCAGAGGCUGCAACAGCAGUGUGUUUGCAAGUUGCUGAGCAGAGAAUUAAUAUGGACUUCAGGAGCCAUGUGACUGUGAAAAAAAGAACUGAGGAUAAACUACCCAAAAGAACAAGCUGAAAUGUGUGUUCAGAGUAU
rnacentral:lncRNA from 1 species